GUCAAAAUAAGUCAUUUUAUGGAAUAAAAUUUGUGUCUCACCUCUGUCGUUUUCGAGUUAAAUUAGUUAAAGCCAAUCUUUUGAUACGUCAUGGUUGCCAUAGCAACAGUUGUUACGUAAUUUGUGGGUAAUGAUUUGUAUCAAUAAGAAACUUUUUUUUCAACAAGUAAUGAUAGUCCAAAAGUUCAGAUCCAAAUCGUG